GGCUUCUGAACGCUGCCAGAGUUCUUCAGGGCACUCACGUGCUCAGGAACCUCUGGGGCCCUCGGGCCAGCCCCGCCCCUGGGACACUGGGGCGUCACAGCGUGCCCAGAGCAAUGUGGUGCCCCAUGCUACCCGGAGACCACGGGAAGCUCUAGCUGUGAUCUUCCCGGGACAGGAACAGCUGGUCUGUACCUGACAUUGUGAGGGAGCAAAGGAAAUUUUAGGCAGCCAAGACUAGAAGUGGAAGAAGAAAGAACAAUAUGUUUAUUCCUGUGCAUAGUGAGUCCCAGAUAAAUGAAGAAUAGAUUUUAAUGCAAGGCAUCAGAUGAAAU